UGUUGAAAUAUGAGAGUAGUAUUAUAAAUACAGAUAGAUUAGCUAUUUUAUAUAUUUUUGAGACAGGCUUCUACCUUCCAUUGAUACAUGGGUGUUCGAUAUGCUACCAACGUAGCCGUGGUCCGCUGUCAAUAUAUACUCUCUACUACUUUUUGAUUCAAAUAUCAAAUUUGAAAAAAAAAAUGGUGGUACCAUGGGCCAAUGUGCUUGUGAUCCUAUGAACCAAAUUAUGAGGUGCCCCUAAUUAAACAUCUUCAAAUAAAAUGAAAUAGGGGUAAUUUCAUAUCUAAUAUUGAUUUUACCUCUGUUUUCUGGUUUUUAUUUUUGCCCCUACUUUUUUUAAAAUGGUUAUACAAGGGCUUGCCAGAUGGCACCGUGGGCCCGUGGCCCUACAGGCCACAGACUCGUGGCCCAGAUCUCCCCUUUCCCUGGGCCCGGCCCGACUACCAAGCCCACGCGCCGAGCCCGUCCUCCUCUCCGGCGUCCCGGCCGCAUUCAUGGGGCGGCGGCGGCGGCGGCGUUGUAGUUGGUGCGGCCCGCGGCGGAGGCGCUUCUCCGGCGUCCGCUCUACCCCAAUCUACCCGUGGUUAGAACUGCAAUCCUCCAUAAAUCAAUGAAGAAUAGUGAGUCAAACCAUAGCCAAAAUCCAAUAACAAUCCCUAUGAUUGUGGCUUAGUAAAGACCUAAAUUCAUCCUUAUUUGGUUCAGAUCCAAAUCUGGAACUUUCAAUUGGGCAUGCACUCAACACAGUUCCACAAAGCCCAUAAUCGUUGCUGUAAAUUGAUGGAUCGUUCAGUGUCUCAAGCUGGCCACCUGUGGGUGCCCUUCCUGACAGAGUGACAGGUGGUUAUUAGAGAGAUGUAAGGAGCUGAGAAAUGUUAAGCUAGAGAUGUUGGUCGUAAUAUGACCUGAAAAUGCAUUGCAAGAUAAAUCCAGGGACUCUAGGGCAUUCAUAUUGCCAAUAUCAUUUGGGAUACUGCCAGAUAUAUUAUUUCUUGAUAAUUUUAGGAACUGGAGACCCUUAAGGUUUGCAAACUCUGCAGGUAUCUCAUAAGAAAAAAUGUUGCUUGUAAAUCAAUAACUGCCAGAAGUGGAAUUGUGCUUUCAAAUGUAUAAGAUCUGCUCUUCCAAAUUAGUUCAAUUCUGUUAGAAUAUGGGGACAAAAAGUAAUUUGAAUAUGUGAACGCAACAUAUGUUGAUCCAAUGUUGAGCCUUUUGUUCUGUUGCAUCAUUGAUCUGAAGUUAGCAAAAUGUGCUGUGUGCUGGUUGAACCUACCAAUUGAUUGUCAGCUAGAUCAAGUAGCUGCAGUUGAGAAUGAUUUGAUAGUUGCCAGGGUAUGUAUCCUUCGAACAUAUUUGAGCAUAACUGAAGAAUUUUAAGAGAAGGCAAGCUUUCCCAUAUCCUUGAAGAAAUUUCAGCAGAUAGCCUAUUGUCCCGGAGAUCUACCAUUGUUAAGUUCUUGCAGAUGGGAAGACUUUUGCUUGUUGAGGUUGGGACUUUGCCAGAGAAAGCAUUGCUUGACAAAUCUAGGAAAAACAAUUGUUGAAGAUUUGACCAGCAAGUAGGGAGGUCCCCAUAGAUCUGAUUGCUUGAUAGAUCCAAGAAGUUCAGUAAAACCAAUUGACAGAACUCCUGAGGAAGCAUCCCUGUAAAUUGAUUCGAAUCGCCUGUGCAAUGUCACCAGAGAAGUGGUUUUGCCCUAUCCAAGCAUACGCCAAUUUUGGACAUGGCAGAAGCAUUCCCAACAAGUAGUUAUUUCUCACCAGCAAUUUCUGAAGCUGAAAUCCACUGCAUAGAUCAGGUGGUAAUUCCCCCAAUAAAUUGUUGUUGGACUAGUCUAGAAUAAGGAGUGCGAUGCUUUUCUAGUUCCAAAAAAAAAAAAAAAGAGAGAGUCUAGAAUAAGGAGUGGCUGCAUCUGGAUCUGCCAAGUCACGAGUGCUGAAUACUUACCUAAGACUUGGGCUGUCAACAGAAUGACAUAUACUGAUGUUGGAAAGUUGGACUAGUUAAUUACUACUGCUGGAACCAGCUUAUAGAACCUAUGUAUCGAACCGUUUUUCCCUUUUUCUCUAUUUUCUGUUCCCUAAUAUUUUGUUUGUAUUCAUCACCAAACUGCUAGCGACAAGAGGUGGCUUCUGCAUUCAGUCUUUCCACAUAGCUAGGCAUGAGCAAAACCUUCAAUGGUUUUCUUUGUGAAUUAAUGGUUUCUAAGCCGGAUGAUUGUUUUAUUUGUGCAUGGAAAUUACCCUAUUGAUGGGCAUCAGAAUGGUUGAUUGAUGAUAUUCUCCUAAGAGCACAUGCAGCAACAGUUGCAUGUCAGACCAUUUGAAUGUCUCAAUACUUCAGAAUAGAAAGAGAUGGGUCUUGCUAGCAAGCUAGUUUCUUUGAAGCUGAAGGUAUCUCGUCAACUUCUCUGCUUGGUACAUAACGAGCUGCCAUAUAUUUUCCAGCAAUGAUCAUACCCAUUCCCCAUACUAGCUGGUUGAGUUGCCAUACAUGUAUGCAGCAGUUUUCAUUUCAUAUCUACUAGUAGUAAAUUCAUCAUCUUGGGAUAUCAAACUUGUCAAUUUGCAUUCAGUUUAAACUUAAUUAAGGUGAGAACUUUUGACUCAGCAGUUCUAGAUUCUAACCUAACAUGUACAUUUCCUCUAUUUUGUUCCUAGAUUAACCUGAUAAGUUUUAAAAAGAAUCACACAUACACUUAUUUGUUUUGGUUCUUCAGAAAUACCAUGUUUGCUUUCUUGAAUCAUACGUUUAUUCUGAUGUAGUAAUAUGGGUGCUGUUGGACGACACAACAUUGUAAGAUUGUACCGGAUCUUAGUUUCAACAGAGAACCCUUCAGCCCUGAAGACCAAUGUGCCUGAGUCUUCGAAACGAUCAGGAUAAGAUGUCUUUGUAAGUUGUAACCAUUUGUGUUGGUUCGACGAUCUGCUAACCUUCAUUCUUUCCUGUACACAAGGUAAGCAUGCAGCCAGGCAAGGCUUAGGAGAUCCCAGUGCUGCAUUACAACGAUAUAAGAGAGGAAAUCAUCAUUUGGAAGGAAGCAUGAAUUUUUUGAGAGUGUGAUUAAUUGAAACCCCUGCAAUGUCUUUGUCUUUUUUGGGGGGCUAAUACCGGUGCAGUUGUCACCCCACCUCGACAGCUUAAUGUCGAUCUUGCAAACACUUGUAACCCUCCUUUUCCUCUUAAUAAAAUUUGUCUUGGAUGGGUGCACAACCCUGCAUUCUUGCAGGAAUCAUGGAUGAGUUUUCCUUGCUGGGUCCAUUUGGUGUUUGGGGCGCGGGAACAUAUUUCGCAAUAAAUAGUUCAAUUACAGCAGAAGAAACUGGGAAUGAUUCAUUAGUAUUUACUAGGCAGCUCCGUUCCAAAGUGUUCAUGGUCCUGAUGCCGUACGCUUCACCAAACAUCCUCCGGUUCACGAUUUGAUGCCUGCCUGUCGGCGGCCAAUUGAAGACUAAUACAUGCUUAGAGUGCAACAACAUGAGGUUUGUACAUUAUGUGCAAUUCGUUUUAGCAAAAAAAAAAACUAAUUGAGAUUUAGAAUGCAUGCAUACAAACAAAUAUCACAGUUAAUCUAUAAACAUAUAUUGGGCAUUUUCGGCUGGUCAGGGCAGCCGCUGCACGCAGCCGUAGCCGCUGUAGCUGCAGACACAACACACUGUUUGUAUUGGCUGCACAACAGUUAAAUUAAGUGCAGCGGCACAGAGUAAUUAGUAGUUCAUGAUAAAAGUACUUUUGUAUAGCAUUUUAAUAAUAUUGUAAAUGUA